AACGAACGCUGGCGGCAUGCCUAACACAUGCAAGUCGAACGAAGGCUUCGGCCUUAGUGGCGCACGGGUGCGUAACGCGUGGGAAUCUGCCCUUUGGUUCGGAAUAACAGCUGGAAACGGCUGCUAAUACCGGAUGAUGACGAAAGUCCAAAGAUUUAUCGCCAGAGGAUGAGCCCGCGUUGGAUUAGGUAGUUGGUGGGGUAAAGGCCUACCAAGCCGACGAUCCAUAGCUGGUCUGAGAGGAUGAUCAGCCACACUGGGACUGAGACACGGCCCAGACUCCUACGGGAGGCAGCAGUGGGGAAUAUUGGACAAUGGGCGCAAGCCUGAUCCAGCAAUGCCGCGUGAGUGAUGAAGGCCCUAGGGUUGUAAAGCUCCUUUACCCGGGAAGAUAAUGACUGUACCGGGAGAAUAAGCCCCGGCUAACUCCGUG
rnacentral:rRNA from 1 species